rnacentral:lncRNA from 1 species
AAUACUAUCACAUUGGGUAUUAGGUUCCAACAUAUGAACCUAAUAAUAUGUUUAGGAAGACACCAACAUUCAGACCAUGGCAAGCCAUUAGUCUCAAAUUCUCAAAAGCCUUUGCCCCUCCUCCAACCCUUCUGAAGAUCAGGACUCAGAGCUCAAAGGUGUCCUUGCCCCAGCCGCUUGGGUCACUUGCUGCCAGGGGCCAGAAGGGGUGGUGGGAAGGUGAUGGGAACAACAGGGUUUGAUGGACUGUUUGGGGAACUGUCUAAUUAUCCUGCUUAUCAGUGCUGGUUCCUUUUCUUAGCUCUUUCCCUUAAUAAAUGAAAACUCCUUCUGUUGUUAUUGAGCUCCCGGGUCACUGAUUCUUUUGAGUCAUAUAAACCACAUGUUUAUAGAGUUACAGUGUGACCGUGAAAUUGAAUGGAGGGGAAGGGAGGCACCAGAGAAGUGUCAGCCUUGAAAGGCAACACUUUCUCUUCCCAGGCUUCUGCUCAUUGUGUAGGGCAAAGGACAGGGCUUUCCGCUGUCCAGGGCCCUGGCCUAGGCGGGGAGGGGAGCUGAGGUCACUGGGUACAGCUUGUGCGUCCACAGAGCUUACAGCCUGGUUGGGGAGGGAGAUGGCCAGGCUCAGAGUUGAAGAUGACCUAGAUCAUGCGUCAACAAACUAUGGCCUGAGGGCCAAAGCCAGCGCACCACCCGUUUUUGUACAGCCCAUGGGUUAAGAAGAGUUUUCAAAAUUUUAAACAGCAGUCUCCCCUUAUCCAUGGUUUCACCUUCUGUGGUUUCAGUUACUUGCAGUCAACCAUGGCCCAAAAAUAGCUACGAUCAGUGACCAUGGACUCAUAAGGCUUUUGUUUAAGAAUUGCCUAAGAUGUUCUUCAGAUCCUGAAUUCCAGCAGGAAAGCUAAUGCCAACCAGUUUGAAAACAACCACAGAGGAAUCGAAUCAGCACGAGAAUGCAGUUUCUUCAUUUCCCUGUCCCAUGACUUUACUCUGCACUCUUUGACCAAUCAAUAAUCCUGGACCUUGGCCCACUUCAAACCCCUUGAAAUCUCUAGCUCCAACUCCCUGGAGGGGUGGAUUUGAGGUUUCCUCCUGUUUCCUUGUUUGGCUGCCGUAUGAUUAUUAAACUCUUUCUUUGCUGCAAUCCCUGUUGCCUUGGUUUAUUGACUUACUGUGCAUCGGGCAAACAAACCUAUUAUGAUGACAUCAUGACGCAAUAUCCACCUCAAAGGACUGCUGGGAGCCUCAAAAAUUUACAAAUUUGUGAAUUGUAUGUGACUGUCUGAUGCCGGGGAGCAGCAAGGAGCUUUUGGUGAUUGGAGUGCGGUUUAAGUGACUGGCACUGGUGGUUACUGCUGGCCCCAGGGAGUGUGAGGCUAGCAGGAUGACCCAGAUUUCCCAAACCAGGCCAGGGCUCUUUCCAGUGAACCAAGGAUGAUGUGAAGAUGCAGGAGGUGGCAGAGGAAGAUCUCAGAAUAUCACUUAGGAAGACUAGACAGCACUUCAGCACUACACUUCGAGGGCAUUUUAAACAGUGAAAUCAUCAACAAAAAGCACAAAAAUGCAUAAGUGUGGCACCAAAUAGACUGCAAGAAGGACACUUGUUUACGGUUUGAGAGCUGAAACCAGGAGACAGAGUGUUAUCUUAUUUGACUCAAAUUUUUCACCACUCUGAGCAGGUCCGUGAAUGGCCACAAAACUGCUGCGAGAUUUCAUUUUGGGGCUACAAAGGAAUUUUUGCAAGUAGAUGAAUUGGCAAACAUGGAGUCUGUGAAUGAUGAGGAUGGACUGUGUAUGUUGCAUUUGUGGAGAGGACAACUUCAUUGCAGAGGAUGUGUAAAGGGAGCACAGUGCCUAAAGUCUUCAUUAAGGUGUAGGGGACUGAUGUAUCCCCUCCCGAGGGCCCACUGUGCUCAAGAGAAGCAGAGAAUACGCCGGGAGCGGUGGCUCACGCCUGUAAUCCCAGCACUUUGGGAGGCUGAGGCAGGUGGAUCACGAGGUCAGGAGAUUAAGACCAUUCUGGCCAACAUGGUGAAACCCCAUCUCUACUAAAAAUACAAAAAUUAGCUGGGCAUGGUGGCCUGCGUCUGUAGUCCCAGCUACUCAGGAGGCUGAGGCAGGAGAAUCGCUUGAACCUGGGAGGCAGAGGUUGCAGUGAGCCGAGAUCACACCACUGCACUCCAGCCUGGGUGACAGAGCAAAGCUCUUAUCUCAAAAAAAAAAAAAAAAAAAAAGAGAGAGAGAAGCAGAGAAUAAAGGAGGCCAGUGGCCAUCAAAAGGGAGUGGCAGGUAGGUGAGAGAGGACAUAGGGAGGGAGGUGGGAUUGAGAGGGAGGGCAGUGGGUGUUGGGGGGGAGGGUCCCUCACGGUUUAGCUGGGUCCCAGAACUCCCUCCCCCUGAACACCUCGUGGGUGGGUGCCUCUUCUCUGCUCACUUUUGGCUGGACUUCUGCUGAUCUGUGAAACACAGAGAGACUCUCCUCUCUGGCUGUCUCCCAGUUGCGGGGAACCUUUUGAUUUCUUAACUAUUCCCCUGGGAUCCAUUCCUCUAUUUGCUCAUUUUCUAAUACUCCCUCUUCAUCACCGUGUUACUGGGCCACUGACUCCCACUCCAAAGGCCGACCAGGCCCGGAAAGCUCAUAAAGUGAGUCAGCCUAAGAGAAGGGAUCCGAGUCCAGGUCACUUGGAGCUGAUGACGGCAGCGAACCUGGCUAAGCCAGCGUGUGCAAGAUGCUGGCGCUGCUGGAAACAUCGCCUGGAGGAGCGGCCCUCUCAUCACCCGGAACAGACAGGGGUGUCUGCAGAGGUUUCCCAACCUGUCAUCAUUACUCUAGGGUCUUCUUAGAAGGACAACAAACCCUGUACCUGCAUGGCGGAGUGUUAGGAUAUCUGGUACCAUGUCACUCCCCUGAGCUCAGCCAGACUGCCUGAGGGUUGUGCCCCACUCCACCAUUUACUGCUUGUGCCUCAGUUUCCUGAUCUGUAAAAUGGAAGUUCUAAUAGUAUCCACCUCAUAGGGUUGUUAUGAGGACUGCACUACAUAUAUACAUAUAGCACUGAGAACAGUGCCUGCACAGAGUAAGCUCUACAGAACACUGGCUUUUAUUAUUGUGAUUAUUAUUGCUCGUAUUAUUACUACUCUUCUCAUCUCUAAAGAAUGGAAUGGGGCUGAACGAUUUCAAAGGCCUUUCUUUCCCUUCCUGUUCUGUUACUGGAGAUGCUCCCUUGCUGUGUGGCCUUGGGCAAGGCCCUUGUCCUCUCUGGGCCGCAAGUUCUUAUCUUCUAAGUGAGGUGCUGGGAGUCAAGCCCUGAGAGCCUGAAUCUAUGAAAUAAGGAUAAGAUGACUCCUAGAGUGGGGUUCAUUUGUGACUGCAGCCUCUCCUGGGGAUGCUGAAUUUCCUUAUUUUAAGAAUUUACUCAGAAUUUAAUCCAAUUCCUCUCCCCUUUUUGUCUAUUGUAACUGCUUAUUUCAUCUCAGCUGAGAUAAAUGGUUAAGUAAUCAACAUAACAGGGUAUAUUUGUAGUGUGUUUUUAAAGCUCCCAUUCACUGAACCAACCACCUUCCUAAGCCUGGAUUAAUUUAUUCUAUCAUCAUUACAACCCUGGGAGGGAGAUUAUUGUCCCUGUGUUAGAGAUGAGGAAAUUGAAGCACAGAGAAAAGUUAAGCAACUUGCCCAAGGACACACAAACAGUAAAUAGUAAAUCCAGAUUUAAACCAGGAACCUUGACUCCAGAUUCUGUAAGCUUUACCCUGACACUAUACCAGCGGUUGGCCUUGAGCUUAAUUUCUAAUUCUACGAUGGAAACGCUGAGGUGGGAGGCAGGUCUUUACUCCAGACCAGACUGAUGACUGGCUGAACCAGGGAAGAGGCAAAAGCACCUCUCCAUAAGACAUGCUCACCAGUACAUGCCAGUUUACCCUUGCCAGUAACUCAGAAGUUACUGCCUCUUUCCAUGGCAUUGACAGAUCCACCCCUUUUCUAGAAAUUUCUGAAUAGCCCGCCUCUUAAUUUGCAUGUAAUUAAAAUGGGUAUAAAUAUGACUGAAACACUGCCCCGAGCUCCUAUUCUCAACACACUGCCUGUGGGGUAGCCCUGCUCUGCAGGAGGAGUCACGGAGCUGUAACACUGCUGACUCAAUAAAGC